rnacentral:rRNA from 1 species
UACGUAGGCAGCGAGCGUUGUUCGGAGUUACUGGGCGUAAAGGGUGUGUAGGCGGUGCUUUAAGUUUGGUGUGAAAUCUCCCGGCUUAACCGGGAGGGUGCGCCGAAUACUGAAGUGCUAGAGUGUGGGAGAGGAAAGUGGAAUUCCUGGUGUAGCGGUGAAAUGCGUAGAUAUCAGGAGGAACACCUGUGGUGUAGACGGCUUUCUGGACCAUAACUGACGCUGAGACACGAAAGCGUGGGUAGCAAACAGG